AGGCACAGAUCAUACAAUCUUUGAGAGUAAAAGGAUGGAUCAAGACCACAGGAAAGAAGGGAUGAAGCUGUGGAGAGUGAGGAUGAGGAACAUUGCAGAUGACUGGAGGCCAGCUCCCUGACCUUCCCCUACUGCCACUGCUGCAGGCCCAGGUCAGGGGAAGUAAAACUGACACUAGCUGUUUAUCAUGCUUUAAGACCAGAGAGUAAAAUGAAAACCAUUACCACCUCUCAGGAUGCAAGAAGGUACAAGAAAGGACUAAACCAGUUGAAGAUGUUAUCUCAAUGGAAGAAGGAAUCCUAAUUAAAUUGAAGUCUUAAAAAAAAGACGGUCUAUUUCACAAGACUGAUAGAGACAUAU
rnacentral:lncRNA from 1 species